UGCAGCACAGAGGCACCCACUGCCAUCCAGUGGGGACGAGGAAUAGGAGCAGGGAGCUGCCAGCAGGGCUCGGGGCCCUGUGCUCCUGCCUGCAGCAUGGGGCCCCGAGGGGCACAGCGAGGGAUAAGGACAGCCACCACUCCCCCUUGGCCUCAGACGUCACAACAUGCGUGUCAUGACCAUGGUGAGGAAGUCCUCGUAGCCGAGCCGCACGUUGCCCACCAUCCCCGUGUCCUUCUCACGGAAGGCGUCCGUCAGGCUCUGCAGCUGCAUGCAGAUGUGGAUGAAGCGGUCGAGCUGGAUGCUGGGGUUGGAGGACCUCUGGGCGUAACGGGACAGCAGCAGUUGGCUGAACUGAGGGCUCAGGUUGUAGCCCAUCUGGGAGAAUGCUUGCUGGAGCUCACUGAAGCUGAUGGAGCCCGACUGGUCCCUGUCGUACUGCUGGAAGAGGUUCUUCCACUGCUGGAUGAAGCGCAGCAGAGCUGCGAAGCCGUACACAUCUAUGCGUCCCGACCUGGUCCUGUCAAACAUGUUGAUCAUCAGCAGGCAGGUCUCGUCGUUGAACGCCGACCAGUUGGAGUUGAGCAGCGCCUGUUUCAGCUCCUUCACCGAGAUGUAACCGCUGCGGUCAGCGUCCACCGCCUGGAACCAGGAGAAGGCCUCGGGGUCCACCCCCUGGGGGGCACCGCCUCCGGGAGCGGCUCCUCCGUACGGUCCCGCCGGGGGCGCUCCGUAGGGCUGCCCGGGGGCCG
rnacentral:lncRNA from 1 species